GACGAACGCUGGCGGCGUGCUUAACACAUGCAAGUCGAACGGAAAGGCCCUGCUUUUGUGGGGUGCUCGAGUGGCGAACGGGUGAGUAACACGUGAGUAACCUGCCCUUGACUUUGGGAUAACUUCAGGAAACUGGGGCUAAUACCGGAUAGGAGCUCCUGCUGCAUGGUGGGGGUUGGAAAGUUUCGGCGGUUGGGGAUGGACUCGCGGCUUAUCAGCUUGUUGGUGGGGUAGUGGCUUACCAAGGCUUUGACGGGUAGCCGGCCUGAGAGGGUGACCGGCAACAUUGGGACUGCGAUAAGGCGCAGACGCCUACGGGAGGCAGCAGUAGGGAAUAUUGCACAAUGGGGGGAAGCAUGAUGCAGCAGCGCCGCGUGCGGGAUGACGGCCUUCGGGUUGUAAACCGCUUUCGCCUGUGACGAAGCGUGAGUGACGGUAAUGGGUAAAGAAGCACCGGCUAACUACGUG
rnacentral:rRNA from 1 species